rnacentral:lncRNA from 1 species
AUGUGUGAAACUUGUUGGGUUAUAAAACCUAGUGUGAAUGUUAGCAACUUAAGUGAGGCUUUCGAAAGCCGAGACGGGAAGGAAACACGUCAAGGGUGAUAUCUAAGGCAAGGAAACCGAGACGUUAAGUGGACAAGCCGGUGUUGAUUUGCGCUUGAAAGGAGUGCUUUGAAGGUGAUGUAGGUGGCAUUCCGGAUGGCGAUCAAGCAUAAGUUAUGAACCGAACACGAUAUUGUGAAGCUUCCGCGAA